ensembl:lncRNA
AUCACUCUUUCAUGUGACACUGACAUGGUGCUGCUCAUCCCCCUCAUCUUUACACUCUUUCUGGAGGUAAAAUCUCAAGGAUUCUCCGAUCAGUUUUGGCUGACAGCAUCUCCAGCAUCAGUUCAGAAAGACUCAAGCGCAGUGCAGCUGACACAUGAUGAACGUGACACUCAGUCUGAUUUGAGUAAGAAUGAGCGGCCUGACAUUAAAAUCAUCCAUGAUUCUGAAAAGAGUGAAUUUAGAAUUCUUUGUGACAUACCAGGAUCAGAUGAUGUCUUGGAAUAUGAAUUUUCAAAUAAUCUGAAGUCAGUGGAGAAUAAAGUAGUGAGCUGCAGUUAUUCUCCAAAAAAUGCAUCAUCCAAACGAUUAUAUAGUGAGAAGUACAACCUAACAGCUUUUUUUCCUGUGAAAAUUCAGUCACCACCAACAACAAAGGGAUCAUUAUAUUCAACACCAACUUUCUCUAUAAAUGCUACCACAAUUGAGCCAAAAAAAUCCAGUACUUGUUAUGAGACCACAAUAAACCCUACAACUGAAACUACUCAUCCUUCACAACCUCUCAACGUGACAUGGAACACAACAGGGGUUCUCAAAGUCGCAGCUGCUGGUGAAAAUGCUGUCCAUAGAACACCAAGAACAAAAACAUUGCUCAUCCUGACACUGGCAGCCACAAGCGGAGGGAUUUUCCUGACCGGACUCAUGGGCAUCUGUCUGUGCUACAUCAGACUGAAACCAAGGAAGAAGAGCCCUGUGAAUACUUCUGUAGCAGCCAUUCCCCAGACCUCAGAUGAUAUUGACGCCAAUGAGGAACGUUCUGAAGAAAAUGGGAUGAAACUGUACCACGUGUACUGCACCAUCCCUGAUGUCGCUGCAGACUCUCAUGUGAUAUACAGUCUGGCACAAAUGCCAAACCAUCCUCUGCCAGUUUAAGAGUUUAUCAUUAUAUUAUAAUAAUUAAACUAAUUGACAUUAAAAGAGAAUGUGGAAGUUUCACUUUCAAUCAAACUAUUUGAUUUUUCUAAUAAUCAAAAACAAAAAGCAAUGCCAGGAAAAAGUGAUGUCAGAUAUUAUUGGUCAAAUGGCAUGCACAUUUUAACUUGAUCACUGCUGUGCAAUAAAAAAACCCCUUACUGUUUUGUGUGACAUUUUCAGUGGUUUCACUGUAUGUUUGUGGUCAGUAUUUAGGACACACUGUUGCACAUGCAUACCCAGCCUCUCACUUCUCCUCAGCCAAGUGAGAAUCUGAUUUAAAACAAACAUUUUUGCCACAUGGUUUUAGUCAUUACAUCCUUGUAUUUGUGCAUUGUUGUUUUUGCCAAAGCCAAAGGUCAUUAAACAUAAUUUCAUUACUCAAACAUUACAAAGUUGCCCCCCCCCCCAAAAAAAAUAGGGUUAUUCAAACAAAAACACAUAGUUUUUACAAAAGCUUUACAUUUUCAUUUAAUCAACCAAAAUACCACAUUAUUAAAAGAACAAUAGAAAAAACAAAAUAACUAAGAUAUAGUAUUACAUAUUCACUCUUUGUAUCACUCCGCUUCAAUUGACUGUGUUUGUAUUUAUAUAUUUAUAAAAAUUCAGCUCCGUAUAAUGGUUUAGUCCUAUGGUAAGUGAUCUCUGUUGUUUUAUAUCUUAUGUGAAGUUUCACCAUGAAAUAAGGUAGACCCUUUUUCUGCCUCCUUACAAAUUUCAAUAAACUGUAAGUGUACAUCUUUCUUUAACCAUUAUUCAUAAAGCAUAUAAUUGCAUUGUUAACUUACUAUAACAGCACAAUUGAGUUCUCUGUGCAAUCUGAUUCUUAACUCUGACUUAAAACUAAUGGAAACUAACUGGAAAAUUAAUACUGUUUUAAAGCAGCUGAGUUACUAAUUUGUUUGUGGUGUCAUGUAGUGUGAACUAUAGUCGUUGUUUUACUCUGCAGAGUGCAGACCCACAGCUUGCAAGACUAAAAAACAAAAUGUUGCAUGAAUUAAAAGCAGAAUGCAUGACCAUGCCACGACAUUCCCAGUGUGAUGAUCCAUUUCUUGUAUGUAAAAUAACCAAACUCUAAAUAACAUAACUGAAAUAGUGAUACUGGUAAGAUGAAUUUACAAUGAAAUAAAAAUACAUUUUGAAAACUCUGUAUAUAAUGGAAUUGAUCUGCAUGUAAACUGAUUAUGUUGUUGUUGUAUUUCCAAACUAGUAUUUGAUUUAAAAUUGUGAUAUCUAGGCCUGGAAAUGAGUUCAUGUAUAAGCAUCCUUGUAAUGUUGUUGAAACCUCUUUUCGGGUUCAACAGUGACCUCUACUGUUGAAGCUUUGACAACUGCCACAGGAACUUGUGAGUGACCAUAAUUUUUAAUCUAAAAUUUACCUGAGUUAUAUUGAAGGGACUCAGUUUUAGAAAGGUUCUUGUCAGCAUCUGCCAUUAAAGGAUGAAGCAUUAAAGCAUUUAAAGCGUUAAAGCAUUUAUUUUCCUCACUUCCACUGGUAGUUGUCAAAGCCUUAACUCCUGGUACAACUGCUGUUAUUGGACGUUAGUAUUACCAAUGAUCUGAAAUGAAUCAGUCAAUAAAAAAAAAAACUUUGCAUAUGAUGAUCAGUCGAUCUGAUUUCUUGGUGGCAAAAAGAAAU